rnacentral:lncRNA from 1 species
ACUUUUCAAAAGAAGAUAUUUAUUUGGCCAACAAACAUAUGAAAGAAAGCUCAUCAUCACUGGUCUUUAGAGAAAUGCAAAUCAAAACCACAAUGAGAUACCAUCACACACCAGUUAGAAUGGCAAUCAUUAAAAAGUCAGGAAACAACAGAUGCUGGAGAUGAUGUGGAGAAAUAGAAAUGCUUUUACACUGUUGGUGGGAGUGUAAAUUAGUUCAACCAUUGUGGAAGACAGUGUGGUGAUUCCUCAAGGAUCUAGAAUCAGAAAUACCAUUUGACCCAACAAUCCCAUUACUUGGGUAUAUACUGGGUAUAUACCCAAAGGAUUAUAAAUCAUUCUACUAUAAAGACACAUGCACAUGUAUGUUUAUUGAACUUAGAGUAUAAUUUUAAAAAAUAGUUAAAAAUUGGAAACAACUCAAAUAUCCAUUGAAAUUAGAAUAGAUAAAUAUGUAAAAUAGUUGUACAAUUCAAGACAAUGCAGAAAUGGGAAUAAAUGAAAUACAACUACAUACAACAUAGGUGGAUCAAACAAACAUAUCAUAAAAUUCCAUUUAUAGAAGGUUUAAAAAUAACCCAUACAAAUCCAAGGUGUUGGAACUCAGGAUAUUAAUUACUCUUGGGUUAGUGACUUAAAUAGGGAAUGAGAAUGGCUUCUGGAAUUCUAGAAUGUUUUCUUUCUUUCUUUUCUUUUCUUUUUCUUUUUCUUUUUCUUUUUCUUUUUUUGACAGAGUUUCACUCUGUUGCCCAGGCUGGAGUAUAGUGGCACCAUCUUGGCUCACUGCAACAUCUGCCUCCCAGGCUCAAGCGAUUCUCACUUGUGCACCUCAGCCUCCCAAGUAGCUGGGAUUACACGAAUGUACCACUGCACCUGGCUAAUUUGUGGGUGUGUAUGUGUGUUUAGUAGAGGUGGGGUUUCACCAUGUUGGCCACACUGGUCUCGAACUCCUGGCCUCAAGUGAUCCACCCACCUUGGCCUGCCAAAGUGCUGAGAUUACAGGCAUGAGCCACCACACCUGGCCAGAAUGUAUCAUUUCUUGAUCUGAGUCUGGUUACAGAGAUGUAUUCACUUUGCCAAUAUCAAUGAUGUUACAUACUCAUGAUUUGUGUACUUUUCUUUAUGUAUGUGUGAGCAAAGAGUUAAUAGCAGGUCUGUACCAUUUUUCUCCCAGAACUAUGCCUGCUUGGGAAAUUUUAGGUUUGUCUUAUCCCAGCACGAAAGCUUCUUUGCAUCAAGGCAAACCCCCACAUACCACAACCUCAUCCAAAUACCACAAGCUCAUGCACGCUCUUUAGGCAGGUGAGGAGGGACCCAAGCAUCAUGCAUGCUUAAUUUCCUGUCCUGUAUCCUACUAUAAAGCUAAGCAAAUUUAGUGCUAGGCUAAAUGCUAUUGUAUCUCAUCAGUUUGCUUGCCAGUCCAAACAUGUUCCCAAUACCAUGGUGGUACCAUGUAUUGCACUUCAAUAAAAAGUUUACUAAAUUCCUUUAUCUAUUCUUGCCAAAAGGUUAUUUUCACUGAUUAUAUAUUCCGCUUGGCCUCCAAAUUCCUUCCAUUUUUCUGAGCCUCCUCGCUGUCUGUUGACCUCCUAUAUUCUCCUUUUUAGGACUCUACAAUUGACCCCUAAACCUCCUAUUCAUUUUUUUAUGCAGAGCUGUUUAAAUAUUGCACUAUCUCACCUCAAAUGACCCAGAGAACCCUCAUAUCAAUAACUAAUAUUAAGAUUGGUUGCAAAACAUAGUUCCUUUCCAGGAGAACUUGUAUAACUAUCUCUUUUUUUUUUGACAGAGUCUCACUCUGUCACCCAGGAUAGAGGGCAGUAGCACAGUCUCAGCUCACCGCAACUUCCACCUCCUGGGUUCAAGCAAUUCUCCUGCCUCAGCCUCCCGAGUAGCUGGGAUUACAGGCACGUGCCACCACGCCUGGCUAACUUUUCGUAUUUUUAGUAGAGACAGGGUUUCACCAUGUUGGCCAGGCUGAUCUCUAACUCCUGACCUCAGAUGAUCCACCCGCCUCGGCCUCCCAAAGUGCUGGAUUACAGGCAUGAGCCAUUGUGCCUGGCUGACUACCUCUUAAGGAAACUUUUUUGUUUAGUUAGACAAAGAAUGGUAAAUCUCUUUCCACGCACAUUCAAAAUUCACACAUUAUCUGGACUCUUAGUUACCUAGGACAUACCCCCAGUUAUUCUUGUACCUAAUUUGGUACCUCAAAUUUUCCCGAGGUGUUAAAACAAAAGGAAUAGAGCUUGCCUAGCACCUUAGAAGUGCUGCACCCUCUUAGAAGUGCCAGGCACUGUCAUAGUUGUUGCCCUCUUAGAAUGAUUUGCCUCUGGGUGUCACUCUUUGCUCUGUACCUGGUACAACUAUAGUGAUGGCAGAUGCUCCAUACUCAGUCCUAGCUUUUCAGUGUUUGGCUUUGCUGGGUUUUUUCUUUCUUUCUUUUUGAGAGAAAUGGGGACUUCCAAGCUGAGUAAAACCUGGAAAGGGCAACUUACUGCAGCCAUAUAUUGAUACUACAUUAUUUCCUAUGUCAUAAUAUUAACCUCCCUUCCAUCUGCUUUUGCUGUUUAGUAGUCUCAUGUCUUCUUGAGCUAGACUAUCUUAUGUAAAUUCAUGUUAUGUGAAUUGAGGUCUCAGUAAUAACAGCCUUCUGUCUUUCCUCACCGUAACAGGAGUCAUAGGAAAGGGGGUGUGAUAGUCUCAGAAACAGCCUAGCAUCUCAUACAAACUUGUUUCUGUUUUUGAGACAGGGUCUCGCUCUAUCACCCAGGCUGGAGUGCAGUGGCACAAUCAUGGCUCACUGCAGCCUUGAUCUCCUGGGCUCCUGUCUCAGCCUCCCAAGUAGCUGGGACUACGUGCAUGCAUGCACCACUACACCUAGCUUUUUUUUUCUUUUUUCUUUUUUCUUGUAAUAGAGAUAGGAUCUCACUUUGUUGCCCAGGCUGGUCUCAAACUGGGCUCAAGUUAUCUUCCCACCUUGGCCUCCCAAAGUGCUGGGAUUAUAGGCAUGAGCCACCACAUUCAGCCCAAACAUUUCUGAGACCACUACUUGAACUAUCAAGUCUCCUCUUGUAACUGAUUCUCAUUAGAAAUAAUACACAUUUAUUGAAUGUCAUUGAUAUAUAAAGAUACCAUUCUUU